CUGGCAGUGGCCGUGCUACACGGAGGAAAGCCCCUGACCUGUGCACAGGUGAGCGACAGGCUGGGCGUGUCCGGGGACAGGAGAGACAAAAGCAGGAACCUGGAAGUUGGUGCCCAGGGGUGCUUUGAAAGCUAUGUGUUGAAGAUGGCAGCUGGCAGCCGCCCUGACAGCCGGGGUGCCCGGCAGACCGUCCAACCCUGCCCCCCGCUGUCCCACCAGGCUGUCUGGACUUGAGGUCCAUGGUGAAUGCACUACUACAGGCUAGACCAGCUCUUGUGUCCAUUUGGAUUCCCAUUCCUGGCGGUGCUCCAGCCACGGCGGGUCAGUAAAUGUGGGCUGAGGCUGCUGAUGACUGAGAGGAGCUUCAUCAUGUUCGAUCAGGCACCGGUUCUGACUUCGCUGAGACCAGGCCCACCACUCUCAGAACCAGGGACUGAGGGCAGCACCGUAAGGGGCAGAACAAGACAGAAGGGCCAUGCGCCCCUGGAUGACUGUGGAGCAGGUCCACCUAUGGGCCCUGGACUGCCUGCUUUUGGAUUGUUAUAUAAAAGGGAAAUAAAC